rnacentral:rRNA from 1 species
UACAGAGGUCUCAAGCGUUGUUCGGAUUCAUUGGGCGUAAAGGGUGCGUAGGCGGCGCGGUAAGUCGGGUGUGAAAUCUCGGAGCUUAACUUCGAAACUGCAUUCGAUACUGCCGUGCUUGAGGACUGGAGAGGAGAGUGGAAUUCCCGGUGUAGCGGUGAAAUGCGCAGAUAUCAGGAAGAACACCCGUGGCGAAGGCGGCUCUCUGGGACGGUACUGGACGCUGAGACGCGAAAGCGUGGGGAGCGAACAGG